AACGAACGCUGGCGGCAUGCCUAACACAUGCAAGUCGAACGAGACCUUCGGGUCUAGUGGCGCACGGGUGCGUAACGCGUGGGAACCUGCCCUUAGGUUCGGAAUAACUCCCCGAAAGGGGUGCUAAUACCGGAUAAUGUCUUCGGACCAAAGAUUUAUCGCCUUUGGAUGGGCCCGCGUUGGAUUAGCUAGUUGGUAGGGUAAAAGCCUACCAAGGCGACGAUCCAUAGCUGGUCUGAGAGGAUGAUCAGCCACACUGGGACUGAGACACGGCCCAGACUCCUACGGGAAGCAGCAGUGGGGAAUAUUGGACAAUGGGCGAAAGCCUGAUCCAGCAAUGCCGCGUGAGUGAUGAAGGCCUUAGGGUUGUAAAGCUCUUUUACCCGGGAUGAUAAUGACAGUACCGUGAGAAUAAGCUCCGGCUAACUCCGUG
rnacentral:rRNA from 1 species